rnacentral:rRNA from 1 species
UACGUAGGGUGCAAGCGUUGUCCGGAAUUAUUGGGCGUAAAGAGCUCGUAGGCGGUUUGUCGCGUCUGCCGUGAAAGUCCGGGGCUCAACUCCGGAUCUGCGGUGGGUACGGGCAGACUAGAGUGAUGUGGGGGAGACUGGAAUUCCUGGUGUAGCGGUGAAAUGCGCAGAUAUCAGGAGGAACACCGAUGGCGAAGGCAGGUCUCUGGGCAUUAACUGACGCUGAGGAGCGAAAGCAUGGGGAGCGAACAGG